rnacentral:lncRNA from 1 species
AUUACAGAUUGUGCUUUGGGAGCUGGAUCCAGCUGGCAGAAGGUUCUCAUUAAGAUGGCAAGGCUGAAAAUGUGAACCUGGAGGGAAACUACGUACUUGUAGAGCAGAGGUGGCCUUGAGGUUAGAGCUAAAGAGGAAGUGAUAAGACUCUAUUCUAUUUUUAUUUUAGCUUAGUAUUGUGGGAUUCUGUGAGUUAUGGAAGUGGCAGCAUGUUUUGGAUGUGUUCAGGCUUAUUUGGAUUUCCCACCCUUACCUCCUCUGCUCUAAAAAUGUUACGAUCUUGCAAGUGUUAAAUUUUGACUAGUUCUAGCAUAGGCUUGGGACAGGAAAAAGCUUGUUUUAGGACUGCUAAAGUCUGGAUCUUGUACAGUGUGUGGGAGUUGUGCUCCAGCUAUUUUUCUGGUACGUAUUUGAGGAAAAGCAGGGAGAGUAGGCAGAGCACAGGCUCUGCUUAUUUUUGUGCUAGCAAACAGCAUAGCUCUGCAGAGGAAAAAGGAUUUAAAGCAUUGAUCCGACAUGCUAAAGCCAUGGCCAGCUCCAGACAGCAUCUUCAGACAUAUGAGGUGGUCAAGGGCAUGGGCUGCUACUGCCCUUUUUUACUGGAAAGAGUAAAUACCAACAGUACACAAACAGGAGAAAUAAAUUAGAUGCAGGGCAACUGUGGAAGCUUUGAGAGUCUCAGGUCUUUGAGGUCUGCCAGCCCUGCAGAUGCUCUGUCUCUUUUAGCCAGUCCCCUACACGACAGCCCACCUGUGUGGCUUCUGAGGAGCUUUUGCAAAAAGCACUUUACGUGGCCAGCUCUAAGCUCUGCAGUGCUCUUCCAGCAGUGCAGCCCUUGCUGGUUGGAAGCGUUGGGCAGCCGGACCACGGAGAGGUUCUCUGAGUAACUCUGCCAAAAUUCGCCAAAUUCUACUGCUCCACAUAUGUUUCAAAGGAUCCAACAGCUGCACUUACUUAGUGAUAAAUGGUGAUAAACACUAGCUGAGGUAGCUAUCCUCUGUUAAGAAAACAUCCCUGUGUCUGUUGACUCCUGUUGUCUCUUAUUCUGCUCUCUGCACUGAUGGCAUCUGCCACAUCCAGUGUUGUCUGGGUGCCAGCUGACCGCAUGAUCCAGCCAUCUGAUUGCUCUUCAGUGAUGAAUGGCUACAGCUACAGCUGGCUGCAUGUGGCAGUUCAGGAGCUUUGCCUGGUGACAUGUGGCGAAUCUGCACGGCAGCUACUGCUGGCUGAAGAAUUUACCUGAGGAGAGUUAAGGAAAAAGAGAGGGGGAACCGAAAAGCACGUGAAAUAAUAAUAUUGGGGAAAUCUAGAGAAGUCUUUCAGUCCUUAGCUCUGUACCCUAGUUCAGCUGAGGGCAUAGGAAAGCUGGACAAACACAAAUGAUCUGCCAAACUUCAAAAUUAGCCCACCUCAUCUGUCCCUAUUUCUUUCCACUGCAAGGAGGUUCAAAAUCUCCAUGAAGAAAAAUCGCAAUCACUGAGUCACUCCAAUAGCAGUGAUCUGGCUGCCUGCCCCUGCCAGCCUGCUACACAACUUGUGUGCUAAUGUUUGGAUUUUAGUGGUGGGAAACUAAUGUCAGGCUGUACUCCCUUCAUGCACCAUUGGGCUGUGCUUAUGGUCGCUCUUGGCAGCACCAAAUGAUUAAACAGAUAAAACCAUCAGUCUUGUUAUUUCCAAACAUUAACCUAAGUGCUAAUAAAGCACAACCCGUGUCUUCCUUAUGGACUCUG